rnacentral:misc_RNA from 1 species
UCUCCGUAGGUGAACCUGCGGAGGGAUCAUUACCGAGUGAGGGGGCCUCGUGCCCUCGACCUCCCAACCCUUUGUUUAACCAACUCUGUUGCCUCGGGGGUGACCCGGCCCCCGUGUCGGGGCCCCCGGAGGACCACAGCACUCUGCGUUCCUGCGUCGGAGUUCGAGGGGAAAUAUUAAUCAAAACUUUCAACAACGGAUCUCUUGGUUCUGGCAUCGAUGAAGAACGCAGC